CAAUAGCGUAUAUUUAAGUUGCUGCAGUUAAAAAGCUCGUAGUUGGAUUUCGGGUGGGAAUGGCCGGUCCGCCGUUUCGGUGUGCACUUGCUACGCCCACCUUGCUGCCGGGGACGUGCUCUUGAGUUCACGCUCGGGACACGGAGUCGGCGAGGUUACUUUGAGUAAAUUAGAGUGUUCAAAGCAGGCCCACGCUCUGAAUACAUUAGCAUGGAAUAACACGAUAGGACUCUGGCCUAUCUUGUUGGUCUGUAGGACCGGAGUAAUGAUUAAGAGGGACAGUCGGGGGCACUCGUAUUUCAUUGUCAGAGGUGAAAUUCUUGGAUUUAUGAAAGACGAACUACUGCGAAAGCAUUUGCCAAGGAUGUUUUCAUUAA
rnacentral:rRNA from 1 species